rnacentral:rRNA from 1 species
AGCCGCGGUAAUACGGAGGAUCCGAGCGUUAUCCGGAUUUAUUGGGUUUAAAGGGAGCGUAGAUGGGUUGUUAAGUCAGUUGUGAAAGUUUGCGGCUCAACCGUAAAAUUGCAAUUGAUACUGGCAGUCUUGAGUACAGUUGAGGUAGGCGGAAUUCGUGGUGUAGCGGUGAAAUGCUUAGAUAUCACGAAGAACCCCGAUUGCGAAGGCAGCUUACUAAACUGUGACUGACAUUGAUGCUCGAAAGUGUGGGUAUCAAACAGGAUUAGAUACCCUGGUAGUCCACACGGUAAACGAUGAAUACUCGCUGUUUGCGAUAUACUGCAAGCGGCCAAGCGAAAGCGUUAAGUAUUCCACCUGGGGAGUACGCCGGCAACGGUGAAACUCAAAGGAAUUGACGGGGGCCCGCACAAGCGGAGGAACAUGUGGUUUAAUUCGAUGAUACGCGAGGAACCUUACCCGGGCUUAAAUUGCAUUUGAAUAAUCUGGAAACAGGUUAGCCGCAAGGCAGAUGCGAAGGUGCUGCAUGGUUGUCGUCAGCUCGUGCCGUGAGGUGUCGGCUUAAGUGCCAUAACGAGCGCAACCCUUGUCUAUAGUUACUAACAGGUGAUGCUGAGGACUCUAUGGAGACUGCCAUCGUAAGAUGUGAGGAAGGUGGGGAUGACGUCAAAUCAGCACGGCCCUUACGUCCGGGGCUACACACGUGUUACAAUGGGGGGUACAGAGGGCCGCUACCACGCAAGUGGAUGCCAAUCCCGAAAACCCCUCUCAGUUCGGACUGGAGUCUGCAACCCGACUCCACGAAGCUGGAUUCGCUAGUAAUCGCGCAUCAGCCACGGCGCGGUGAAUACGUUCCCGGGCCUUGUACACACCGCCCGUCAAGCCAUGGGAGCCGGGGGUACCUGAAGUGCGUCACCGCGAGGAGCGCCCUAGGGUAAAACUGGUGACUGGGGCUAAGUCGUAACAAGGUAGCCGUACCGGAAGGUGCGGCUGGAACACCUCCUUU